rnacentral:rRNA from 1 species
GCUUUAUAACAAAAGAUUUUAUUUUUGAAAAAUACAAAAAAUAAAUAAAAUUUAAGUUAUUAUAUUGGGGCGAUAAAGAUAAAAGUAUUGAAUAACUGUCUAAAAUAUUUACAUAGAUAAAUGAGUUAAUUGAAGAUCCUGUAGUGGAGAUUAGAAGACUAAGUU